CGGUUGGAGAGGAGCCUAUGUCAUAUCAGCUUGUUGGUAGGGUAAAAGCCUACCAAGGCUACGACGUGUAGCGGGUGUGAGAGCAUGGCCCGCCUCAAUGGGACUGAGACACUGCCCAUACUCCUACGGGAGGCUGCAGUCAAGAAUAUUCCCCAAUGGACGCAAGUCUGAGGGAGCGACGCCGCGUGAAUGAAGAAGCCCUUCGGGGUGUAAAGUUCUUUUCUUAGGGAUGAACUAAUGACAGUACCUAAGGAAUAAGGGGCUGCCAACUUCGUGCCAGCAGCAGCGGUAAUACGAAGGCCCCAAGCGUUAUCCGGAAUCAUUGGGCGUAAAGCGUCUGUAGGCGGUUUAUUAAGUCAGAUGUUAAAUAUCAGGGCUCAACUCUGAUGCUGCAUCUGAUACUGGUAAACUAGAGGAUGGGAGAGGCAUGUAGAAUUGCCGGUGUAGCAGUCAAAUGCGUUAAUAUCGGCAGGAAUACCAAAUGCGAAGGCAUCAUGCUGGAACAUUCCUGACGCUGAGAGACGAAAGCGUGGGUAGCGAAUGGGAUUAGAUACCCCAGUAGUCCACGCCGUAAACGAUGGACACUAGGCAUUGGAAGCAUCGACCCUUUCAGUGCCGUUGACAAAAGGUAACCCGUUAAGUGUCCCGCCUGGGAAGUACGAUCGCAGAUUAAAACUCAAAGGAAUUGACGGGAACCCGCACAAGCGGUGGAACACGUGGUUU
rnacentral:rRNA from 1 species